rnacentral:rRNA from 1 species
GAGUAAAGAUUUCGGUCGCUUUGGGAGGAGCUCGCUUACUAUCAGCUUGUUGGUAGGGUAAUGGCCUACCAAGGCUAUGACGGUUAGGGGGUGUGAGAGCAUGACCCCCAGCAUUGGCACUGAAACACUGGCCAAACACCUACGGGUGGCUGCAGUCGAGAAUCUUCCACAAUGGGGGAAACCCUGAUGGAGCGAUGCUGCGUGCGGGAUGAAGGCCUUCGGGUUGUAAACCGCUUUUGUAGGGGACGAAAUUUUUGACGGUACCCUUUCGAAUAAGAGGUUGCUAACUCUGUGCCAGCAGCAGCGGUAAUACAGAGACCUCAAGCGUUAUCCGGAUUUACUGGGCGUAAAACGUCUGUAGGGGGUUUAUUAAGUUCCAAGUAAAAUUUCAAGGCUCAACUUUGAAUUCGCUUGGAAAACUAAUAAACUGGAGUCUAGCAGAGGUGCAUGGAACUUGUGGUGUAGGAGUGAAAUCCGUUGAUAUCACAAGGAACACCAAAGGCGAAGGCAUUGCACUGGGCUAGCACUGACCCUGAGAGACGAAAGCGUGGGGAGCAAAACGGAUUAGAUACCCGUGUAGUCCACGCCCUAAACGAUGAAUGCUAAAUGUUCGGGGAUUCGACCCCCUGGGUGUUACAGCUAACGCGUUAAGCAUUCCGCCUGGGAAGUACGGCCGCAAGGCUAAAACUCAAAGGAAUAGACGGGGAUCCGCACAAGCGGUGGAGCGUCUGGUUUAAUUCGACAGUAAGCGUGGUACCUCACCAGGGUUUGACAUCCCUUGACAGCCUUGGAAACAAGGUUUCCUUCGGGCAAGGUGACAGGUGCUGCAUGGUCGUCGUCAGUUCGUGCCGUGAGGUGUUCCGUUAAGUCGGGAAACGAACGAAACCCCUAUUGCAUGUUACAAUUUCUCAUGCAAGACUGCCCGGAUAUACUGGGAGGAAGGUGGGGAUGACGUCAGAUCUGCAUGGUCCUUAUACCCUGGGCGACACAGGCGCUACAAUGGCAGAGACAAAGGGUUGCAAAACCGCAAGGUGAAGCUAAUCCCAAAAACUUUGUCUAAGUUCGGAUUGAAGGCUGCAAUUCGCCUUCAUGAAGCUGGAAUCGCUAGUAAUCGUGAAUCAGCCACGUCACGGUGAAUAUGUUCCCGGAUCUUGUACUCACCGCCCGUCACACCAAGAGAGUUGGUAGCUCCCGAAGCG